GCAAUGGACGAAAGUCUGACCGAGCAACGCCGCGUGAGUGAAGAAGGUUUUCGGAUCGUAAAGCUCUGUUGUAAGUCAAGAACGUGUGUGAGAGUGGAAAGUUCACACAGUGACGGUAGCUUACCAGAAAGGGACGGCUAACUACGUGCCAGCAGCCGCGGUAAUACGUAGGUCCCGAGCGUUGUCCGGAUUUAUUGGGCGUAAAGGGAGCGCAGGCGGUCAGGAAAGUCUGGAGUAAAAGGCUAUGGCUCAACCAUAGUGUGCUCUGGAAACUGUCUGACUUGAGUGCAGAAGGGGAGAGUGGAAUUCCAUGUGUAGCGGUGAAAUGCGUAGAUAUAUGGAGGAACACCAGUGGCGAAAGCGGCUCUCUGGUCUGUCACUGACGCUGAGGCUCGAAAGCGUGGGUAGCGAACAGGAUUAGAUACCCUGGUAGUCCACGCCGUAAACGAUGAGUGCUAGGUGUUAGGCCCUUUCCGGGGCUUAGUGCCGGAGCUAACGCAAUAAGCACUCCGCCUGGGGAGUACGACCGCAAGGUUGAAACUCAAAGGAAUUGACGGGGGCCCGCACAAGCGGUGGAGCAUGUGGUUUAAUUCGAAGCA
rnacentral:rRNA from 1 species